GACGAACGCUGGCGGCGUGCUUAACACAUGCAAGUCGAACGGUGAAGCGAGUGCUUGCACUCGUGGAUCAGUGGCGAACGGGUGAGUAACACGUGAGUAACCUGCCCAUCACUCUGGGAUAAGCACUGGAAACGGUGUCUAAUACUGGAUACGACCAACCCUUGCAUGGGGUGUUGGUGGAAAGAUUUAUCGGUGAUGGAUGGACUCGCGGCCUAUCAGCUUGUUGGCGGGGUAAUGGCCCACCAAGGCGACGACGGGUAGCCGGCCUGAGAGGGUGACCGGCCACACUGGGACUGAGACACGGCCCAGACUCCUACGGGAGGCAGCAGUGGGGAAUAUUGCACAAUGGGCGAAAGCCUGAUGCAGCGACGCCGCGUGAGGGAUGACGGCCUUCGGGUUGUAAACCUCUUUCAGCAGGGAAGAAGCGAAAGUGACGGUACCUGCAGAAGGAGCACCGGCUAACUACGUG
rnacentral:rRNA from 1 species